rnacentral:rRNA from 1 species
CCUACGGGAGGCAGCAGUGGGGAAUAUUGCACAAUGGGGGAAACCCUGAUGCAGCGACGCCGCGUGAGGGAAGACGUAUUUCGGGAUGUAAACUUAUAUUCGCCGGGGACAAAAUGACGGUAACUGACUAAGAAGCCUCCGCUAAAUAAGUGCCCGCAGCCGCGGGAAUAAGUAGGGGGUAAGCGUUAUCCGGAUUUACCGGGUGUAAAGGGAGCGUUGGCGGUGUAGCAAGUUAGAAGUUAAAGACCGGGGCUCAACACGGGGACUGCUAUUGAAACUGUUGAUCUUGAGUGCAGGAGAGGUAAGUGGAAUUCCUAGUGUAGCGGUGAAAUGCGUAGAUAUUAGGAGGAACACCAGUGGCGAAGGCGGCUUGCUGGACUGUAAAUGACGCUGAGGCUCGAAAGCGUGGGGAGCAAACAGGAUUAGAUACCCGUGUAGUC